GCAGUUUUAUAAACAUUUUGGCAUUUAAAUUUCUACUCAUUUUUGGCAUGACAUUUGUGCUAGUAUAAGAACAAGCCUGAGGGGUGGGGAAGAGGAGAAACACACCAAGGUUUAACAUUCACUAUAAUGCUAUUUUUUAAAAAAAGAAUUUCGUUUUAAAAAAUCCACAUUAUUAAACAAAACAUUAAAAAAUACAUUGAAAAAGGUACAUUCAUUAUCAAGGCAAACACCAGCUGCCCUCAUGCAAUGGAAUUCACAGAGCUGAUCCCCUGAGUCAAAUAUAAAAUUAAUAUAAUUCAGCUUUGUCCUCCAUUUGCCAGUCAGCUGUUGCUGCCCUUACCAGAAACAGCAGAAGGAGCGCAGGGAGCCAGAACGCCCUUCGCAAAAGAAAUAUAGCUGGACUCCCGCACUUGCAGUUCAUUCACAUAUUUAAAAAUACAACAGAAACAAAAAAUAUUUUUGUUUUUUAAAAGCCUAGGUUUCAUGAACAAGCCAUUUACCAAAAGCACAAGGUGGGUUUAAGGGAUGUGUAUGUGCACGAAAGACAGAAGGAAAAACAACAAAUUCCUACUGGGUCCAAAUCAUGCUCAGAUCAGAUUCAAAUUUGUGGAUCUGGUUUGAGCAAGAUGUUUUAUAGUGGGAGUGUGGCUGCGUCUGCUUGGCCAUAUCUUGGCUUAAAAAGCUAUGAAUGAGUGUUUGCCCAUGAAUGCAGCUCCUUUGCUCCUAGCUAGCAAACUUGGAAGUCUUCAAUUAACCACUGUUUCCUGUUUUAUCCAAACUGGGAAACUAUGGUUAUCAGCUUUGGAAUAAGACAGGAUGCUGAACCAUGGUUUGAAGCUGUGUUAACAUCCUAGUUGGUUCCAAAGCUGGUAACCACAGUUUCCUGGUUCAGAAAAAAAGAUAAACUAAAGUUCAAUCAAAGGCUUCCUGGUUCAGCCACAGCUUGUCAAAGGGACUGUGUACAUAGAGCAAAGACAUGUUCAUAUCCAGCAGCUGUUAUUUAAUCUUAAGUGGUAGAAUAACUAAAAGGAACAAAUUUGUAAAGCUAUCACAGGGAAAUGCUUUAAAUUUUCUAACUUUACCAGAAAUAGUGCCAGUGCAGAGGUUGGGUAGAUGUGUCUUUAGAAAAUUCUUGCACUUGGCCCAGUGGCGGAUUCUCACAGUACAGCACAUGCACUUGAGACUCAAGAGAGAUCAGCAUCCCAGACAUGAGCCAGGCAGGCUUUUCAAAUCACGCCAGUUUCCUUAAAGACCUAAAAGAUUGCACACAUACACACGCUCCUUACGCCAGCCCUGGCUUUUGGGUUGACAUCACACUGAAAAUAUAUAAUCUGGACCUAUGCUCAUCCUCUAAUACAUAUUUGGAAAAAUUGGCCACUACACAAGGGAGAGAGUCUUCCCACCUCCAGAACUUGGGGUCUGUGGACAGUCAUCACCAAACUAGAUAAAAUUCUGCCUGCACAUUUUGCUCACAAAUACCAGAGGUAAGAAUAACAAGCGCAAAGCCUGCUCCCUGGACAUCAUGGCAUCAGCAUUAUUGCCACAUGGUCAUGAGGCUGCCAUUGGGGGCAAGCACCCAUGGCUCAGCACACCAUUUAUGCUGCCUGGGGCCACUCUUUCGGUGUCUUAGCAUUGAAACCAAUGGGACUACUCCAGAACAUGCACUUUCCAGAUAGCAUCAUUUCCACCCAAUUCAGAUCCCACUGGGAUCAAAAAAGGUUCUCUGUUGGUUCUUCAGAGGUAAAGGAAAUGACAGUUUUACUCAGCUAUCCUUUGGACAUUUUUAAAGGCCAAGGAAAUUCACAUUCUAGAAGAAGAUAACUUCUGUGAUAAAGGAGAGCCCCAAGAAAGAGUCAUUCUUGAAAGUUGGCUGGCUUACAACCCCUUCUAGGACUCAGCAGCGGAAGCUGCUCCCACAGCCAUCACACCCUGGGAUAAAGAAGGGUGUAGAAUUAUCCUUGGUUUUGCCAUAUGGUGAUUCAAAGGCAAAGCAAGUCCUAAGCGCCUCUCUGGAUGCAGGCUGGAGGGACACAUUAUAAUAUAAUGCUAACUCAAAAAAAAAAAAAGGCAAAGAGACCUACCUAACACAUCAUGCCUCUAUACUGAGGUAACCUUAAAUAUCUUUGGUUUUUUUCUUCAUUUGCUGCUAAGUAGUACUUGAAUAAAAGCUAUUUCUUUACUGGCAGAUCACCUUGUGGAUAAAGCCACUCUCUUUAGUUAACUGGAUAUCUUUGGAAACUGAGGCAAUUAACCCGCUGUCUGACUGACAAGAAUUCCAGUAGAAGACACGUGUGAGGUAAAAGUAGUAUCUUUACUCAGAUGAGCCAAGAUUUGCCCACACAAAUGCAGGCAGACUUUUAAUUUUCACAGAGCUCUUUGUGAGGCCUCACAGAGUCCCGUGUAACUUGAAAGCUAUCGCAACCUUAUCCCAGUCUAAAAUGCUCAGGGCAAGAGAGAUCGCGAAGCAUCUUCCAGCCUAAGGGCCCAACAAUGGCAGCCACCAUCUACUACGGUUCCCACAGCCGCACCUGCUCCUCUUGAUUAUUCCCAGAGCAGCCGUGGAGCUUGAUGGGUCUUUGGCAUGAAACUGCUGAGGAGGGGGAUCUAUUGGCGUCACCCAACAGGAUCAGGAAGGGGUCAAAAAGUGUCAGUACUUCACAGCAAACAAGUCUUUGGGAGAAGAAAAUGGUUACCUUGGCAUAUCAGCCAUUGCUAAGAGGCUCCCCAAGGAUGCCAGGAGUUUCACGGCAUGAACCGUGCCAUCUUUUGUCUCCUGGCUUCAAGCAGCGCACUCUCCACUGUGCCCGACACAGCUUUGUCCAAUGAGACCAAAAAUAAAAUCUUUGGUGAGACAAGUUUCUUUUUCUUCAGCAAGUAAAUAUAUAUAUAUAAAAC